rnacentral:rRNA from 1 species
AGAGUUUGAUCCUGGCUCAGGAUGAACGCUGGCGGCGUGCUUAACACAUGCAAGUCGAACGGGAAGCACCUCUUCGGAGGUGUGGAGAGUGGCGAACGGGUGCGUAACACGUAGCUUAUCUGCCCCGGAGAUGGGAAUAACCCACGGAAACGUGGGCUAAUGCCCAAUAAGCUCACAGGCUCUAGAGGCGAGUGAGAAAAGCUGAGGCGCUCUGGGAUGAGGCUGCGGUCCAUCAGCUAGUUGGUGAGGUAAAGGCUCACCAAGGCAACGACGGAUAGGGGACCUGAGAGGGUGACCCCCCACACUGGCACUGAGACACGGGCCAGACUCCUACGGGAGGCAGCAGUGAGGAAUAUUGCGCAAUGGGCGACAGCCUGACGCAGCGACGCCGCGUGAGCGAAGAAGGCCUUCGGGUCGUAAAGCUCUUUUCUAUGUGACGAGAACAAGGACGGUAGCAUAGGUAAUAAGUCUCGGCUAACUACGUGCCAGCAGCCGCGGUAAAACGUAGGAGGCGAGCGUUAUCCGGAGUUACUGGGCGUAAAGCGCGUGUAGGCGGCUAUGCAGGUCGGAUGUGAAAGCUCCCAGGCUAAACCGGGAGAGGUCAUUCGAAACCGUGUAGCUAGAGGAUGGCAGAGGCAUGUGGAAUUCCGGGUGUAGUGGUGAAAUGCGCAGAUAUCCGGAG